rnacentral:lncRNA from 1 species
GUCAUCAAGCUUUUGGCGCCGUUGUCGGGGACUUUUGAUAUUUCAACAAGGUGACGCUUGUGCAACAUUUAUAUUUGUUUUUUUUUCAAUUGUAAAUAUUUUUUUAUGUAAUUAGUUAUUUUUGUUUCUUCUUAAAUUUUGUUUCUUAUUCUUUAUCCUUUUUUAUUUUUUUUAAAUUUUUUUAUCUAGUGCGGUGCUACUAAG